rnacentral:rRNA from 1 species
UACAUGGGGUGCAAACGUUGCUCGGAAUUAUUGGGCGCAAAGCGCACGUAGGCGGUUUGUUAAGUCGGAUGUGAAAUCCCUCGGCUCAACUGAGGAAGUGCAUCCGAAACUGGCAAGCUUGAGUACGAAAGAGGAUCGCGGAAUUCCCGGUGUAGAGGUGAAAUUCGUAGAUAUCGGGAGGAACACCGGUGGCGAAGGCGGCGAUCUGGGUCGAUACUGACGCUGAGGUGCGAAAGCGUGGGGAGCAAACAGG